rnacentral:rRNA from 1 species
GACGAACGCUGGCGGCGUGCCUAAUACAUGCAAGUCGAACGGUCUUUUCUAUGGAAGCUUGCUUCCACUGAGAAGAUAGUGGCGAACGGGUGAGUAACACGUGGGUAACCUGCCCAUAAGAGGGGGAUAACAUCCGGAAACGGGUGCUAAUACCGCAUAGUUUUCUUGAUCGCAUGAUUGAGAAAGGAAAGACGGCCUUUGCGCUGUCGCUUAUGGAUGGACCCGCGGCGUAUUAGUUAGUUGGUGAGGUAACGGCUCACCAAGACGAUGAUACGUAGCCGACCUGAGAGGGUGAUCGGCCACAUUGGGACUGAGACACGGCCCAAACUCCUACGGGAGGCAGCAGUAGGGAAUCUUCCGCAAUGGACGAAAGUCUGACGGAGCAACGCCGCGUGAGUGAAGAAGGUUUUCGGAUCGUAAAACUCUGUUGGAUGGGAACAAUAACUCCGACUUGUCGGAACUUGAGGGUACCAUCAGAAUAAGCACCGGCUAACUCCGUGCCAGCAGCCGACGG